UAAAAAUACAAAUAAUGUUAUCACCUAUAAUUUGGCACUGAUACUUAUUAGGUACCUAGGUAUAUAUUAUCCAUCUAUAUAUGUACUUACUAUAACAGAUGUUAUAUUUGUUUUAUAGUCAUAAAAGAACCAUAUCCAGCUAGAUCUACUUAUCAAGUGGCUAAAUUACCAAUGGUAAUAAAUAUUAUUUAAUUUGUACCUAUUAAAUACAUUCAAAACGUUAAGCACAUUGCAAUAAUAUAACUAUUAAUAUUUUAUUCAUGUAUAAUUUGCAGGACGCUCUUGUGGAAAUCGAAGUCAUUGCUAUCAUUUAAUGUACCUAUACAAUUUUCAUUUUUAUUUUUGUAUUUAUAGAUUAUACUUUAUAUUUAUACUAAGAUUUAUCAAGUUAUUAAUUAGGUACUUGAGAUAUUAAAAUGUAUAAAUUGCACAAUGUAGGAGUUAGCUACCCAGCCUACCAUAAUGAAUUUAUCAUUAAUAGGUAACCAAUUUAUGAUUGGCUAGGAGUGGACUAGGUGUUUAUCUUUGAUGUAAAACUAAAUAAUUAUUAAUUUACCUAUCUAAAUGUGU